UGCUGCUAUGAUUUUAUGAUCGUGGUUUUGUGCAAAACAAGUGGAUAGAUCCCAACACAACAAGUUCGUUGUUUCAACUUAGAGUUCGUUAAAUCCGGGCUUUAUUUAAAGGAAAGUAAAGUGGAAGAAGAUUAUUUUUUUGCCAUAUUAGGCUAAAAGGGCGACGAGGCGAAAAGGAUUCAUGAAUAGUCACUGACAGGUACAGACGACUGAUUUACCGAUCCGCCCGCUUAGGAUUCUAUUCUGCUGUCUUGGAGUGCUCGGUUGUCCGGAGCCUGCGUCUUGGUACAGUCUUUUGCCAUUGUACAUAUGUAUGUGGUUCAGGGGUAUGACGGGGCCCUGUCCCGUCUUG